rnacentral:rRNA from 1 species
CACAUGCAAGUCGAACGGCAGCACAGAGGAGCUUGCUCCUGAGGUGGCGAGUGGCGGACGGGUGAGGAAUACGUCGGAAUCUGCCUAUAUGUGGGGGAUAACGUAAGGAAACUUACGCUAAUACCGCAUACGACCUACGGGUGAAAGUGGGGGACCUUCGGGCCUCACGCAGAUAGAUGAGCCGACGUCGGAUUAGCUAGUAGGCGGGGUAAAGGCCCACCAAGGCGACGAUCCGUAGCUGGUCUGAGAGGAUGAUCAGCCACACUGGAACUGAGACACGGUCCAGACUCCUACGGGAGGCAGCAGUGGGGAAUAUUGGACAAUGGGCGCAAGCCUGAUCCAGCCAUGCCGCGUGUGUGAAGAAGGCCUUCGGGUUGUAAAGCACUUUUGUCCGGAAAGAAAAGCUUAGGGUUAAUAACCCUGAGUCAUGACGGUACCGGAAGAAUAAGCACCGGCUAACUUCGUGCCAGCAGCCGCGGUAAUACGAAGGGUGCAAGCGUUACUCGGAAUUACUGGGCGUAAAGCGUGCGUAGGUGGUUUGUUAAGUCUGAUGUGAAAGCCCUGGGCUCAACCUGGGAAUGGCAUUGGAAACUGGCUUACUAGAGUGCGGUAGAGGGUAGUGGAAUUCCCGGUGUAGCAGUGAAAUGCGUAGAUAUCGGGAGGAACAUCUGUGGCGAAGGCGACUACCUGGACCAGCACUGACACUGAGGCACGAAAGCGUGGGGAGCAAACAGGAUUAGAUACCCCUGGUAGUCCACGCCCUAAACGAUGCGAACUGGAUGUUGGGGGCAACUUGGCCCUCAGUAUCGAA